GUCUACGGCCAUACCACCCUGAACGCGCCCGAUCUCGUGUGAUCUCGGAAGCUAAGCAGGGUCGGGCCUGGUUAGUACUUGGAUGGGAGAGGAGAUGAUGUCUGGAUUGAGAUCUGCAGGAAGAGUAGGAA
rnacentral:rRNA from 1 species